rnacentral:lncRNA from 1 species
AAUAAUAAUAAUAAUAAAAAUAAUGAUAAUAUUAUCUCGGUUAGGUUUUCAUAAUGGGUCGCGUCUGGAGAGGUUUUUAAUGCGUAAAUAGUGUAAAGAAACGAUGUCUGUCACCCGAGACCACUUAAUCGCGGGUUCCUUUGAUUAUAUUGUGUUAUAUACCUAUAUUUUAUUUUUUGUUUUACCGUAAAAACGUCUGCCCGUAACGCACUCGACGCAGUACUACGAUACAGCUAAGAAUAAUAGUUAUGAUAAAAAUAUUAUAAACGUUCCGAGCUAUAAAAAUUCCUCGUGGCUAUUUGGUCGGGUCGUUUAUCCGAUUUUACCGAGUGAGAAAGACCGGCGGGGGGUUGGAAAAAAAAAACACCGAAGAACUUCGUGUUUGGCGUGUGUGAUGCGCACGCCUGAAAACCGUCCAAAUAAUAUAAUUAUUUUGAACGUCAGACAAAACUGUCCUGUGUACAGUGCAAUCAACGGUGGCAGCGAGGAUAUACAGAGUACGAUUAAUCGUGAAAUUAAUUUCCGGGCGUUUUAGUUUUUUUUUCGCCGGGUAAAAAUAAAUAAAUAAUCAUCCAAGAUUAGCAACAGAGUAGCCCCGUCACUAUACGAAUCCGAAUUCCCUUCUUUCUCAACUAUUUUUCGUUAAAAAAAUAUUCUUUGUAAACAAAUAAUUAUUAACCAAAUAUCAUAGCUAUAUUAUUUAGUAAUACUUAAAAAAAAAAUAGUGUAAAUGGUAUGAGCGAUGGUUGAAAAUUAAAUCUCCAAAUAGACGCAUCCGUGAUGCUUACUUAUGCCGUUCAAAUUUAACAUUUCAUCUUAAUCUACCUGCAUGUAAAAACAUAUCUAAUUCCCAAGAUAGAGCUCAUAGUUGGUAUAAGGGAAGCCAUCGGAAGUGUUCAAGGGUCCCGGGGAAAAUUCCACGAAAAUCAUUCAGUAUGUAUAAAAGUUAUUCUAAUUUUUUUCUCGAAAAUUUCCGUUCAUAUACGCAUUCGUCAAUCGAGUACCUGUACAAACAAUAGACGGAAAAGUCUUUUCCGCGGAAAACGUUUACCUACAAACUACAACGAAAAUCCUGUAAUUCCUUCUUUCAUUAUUCUUCUAGAGUCUUGGUCAUCAUCACUGACACCUCUUUUCAUAUUCACCUCUCCUAAGCUACUUACGUCCUUUUGGUCAUUUUCUGAUUAGUCGAUACAGUUGACUUGCCGGCUUUUUAUCUUUAUUCGUGUGUCCGAAUCGUUAAAAAUAUUUGCUCUUUUACGUUCAAAUAAUUGUAAAUAUGUAUUGCAGGUCAUUCCUUAAUGAUUUGCGUAUAAUUGCACGUUAUUCAGCCUUUACUCCUCUGUGCUGGCUAAAAGGACAGUUAGCUAUUCGCGCUGUCGUCGUCUACGCCUCAUGUUAUCCUGUACGUCCUCAUCAAACCUAAUUAAUCAGAUUUUAUCACUGAAUAUUAGACAACUCGCGGAGAAUACCCUUGCGAUUGUCGCGAUCGGUUCUAAGCCCUCUAAGUACACACUUUGGCGAUCGUUACUCUACGACAUUGGAACAUCGUUUUUAUGUGUAUUUUUUUUUGUGUAUACGAGGUGUGGCUAUUAAAUAACGAGACUGGUUACGAAAAAGUGUUUUAUUAUAAAAAUUAUUCUACAUUCAAAUGCUCCCCUUCAAUAUACUCCCCUUCCCUCGCCACACACCGUUUUAUUCGUUUCUUCCAUUGCUCGAGGCAGUGCUGGAAGUCUGUUUUCGUAAGACCAUUCAGGAGUUCCGCCGAUUUUUGUUUCACCUCUUCCAUCGACUCAAACCGGAUUCCUUUUAAGGCAGACUUUAUCUUCGGAAACAAGUAAAAGUCGCAGGAUGCCAAGUCGGGUGAGUAAGACGGGUGUUCGAGUACUGGAGUGCCUUAAGCGGAUUAAACGCUUCACGCUUUAUCCUGGUGCAAGAUCCACGACUUGUUUAUCUACAAUAUCGACCGUUUCUUACGAACUCAUUCGCGCAAUGUUGCCAAAACUGUCAAAUAGUAAUGUUGGUUCACAGUUUGACCCUCUGGAACCCAUUCAGUCAUCACGAUGCCGUUGAUAUCAGAUAAGAAAACGAUCAGCAUGGUUUUGAAUUUGGAUUACGACUGAAUUGGAUUCCGGUGCAUUGUCGACCUUCAGAAAAUAAUUUAUGCCACUCAAAAACACUCUUUUAACAACUUAUAGCACUCAGUUGGAGUUUUUUUUUAGUUUAACGAGAUAAUUUUACGUUUAUCCGUUGCUCAUGUUUUUCGUCACAUAUCGUUUUCGGCAAGAGAAAAAAACAUGUUCGUUUCUAAACGCUACAGAAAAAAUACUAAUGCACCAACAAAAACUUAAUUUUGUACUGGCAUAAUAGACACUUCCAGCUAACCAGUGCUAUAUUCGGUUUUCUCCUAACCUUUUUGGGACGCCCUGUGCGCGUGCAGUCUCGUUAUUUAAUAGCCAAACCUCGUAUCGUAGCGAUAAUCACUGUUUCGCGUGUUUUCCGACGCCGCGCUCCAAUAAGAUUGACUCGUCUAAAGUAACGAUACUACAUUAUCCCGACGCGCGGUAAUCGUUUAUAAGUAUAUCGAUUCAAUUUAUGUGUGUGUGAAACCGGUUCGUUUGGAAAUUGUUUUUUAUAUUAUAUUUUUUAGGGAUAGGAAAAAAAAAUCGUAUGUAAGUAUACUUAUUAUUACGACCCGCAGCAGACGAUCGUAAAACCGCGACGAUUAUACACACUGCUUCAUGUUUAAUCGGUUAUUAUUGAAAAUUCACGGAUGAUAGAAACUAUAUUCGUACAUAUAUGCAAUACCAUUCUAUACAGGUGCGUAUAAAUAUACCGAAACCAGUAUUUUUUAUAGAUUUUUUUUUUUCCAUCACUAAGGUCGUGUACCCAAAAACGUUACGCGCUCCUAGACAUGCCUGUAGCCUGUGUAUACGCAAUGAAUUUACAAAAUUUUGGCGCACGCAACGUGUGUUUACGUGGGUCGUUUUGCACAAAACAUUAGGUAUACCUAUACCUACAUUUUUUUUCGCCCCGAUAUGAUAUUCUUACGGAUUUAUUUCCGUUUGUGCCUCUCUUGCGGCUCCUGCUGUUGCAGUCGACUGUGUGCAGCCCGAGUAAAUAAUAGAUACGCGCGAUAUACGGCACUUACGCAGUCCUGCAGUAUCCUGGACCCCCGCCGCUGCAAUCGAUUCGGUCCCUUUGAUUAAUCGUACGUAUACAUUAAGUAUAUCUAAAAUCCCAUUAAAAUGAAAAAAAAAAAAGAAAUAGAAAAAGGUCCUAAUAAUAAAACUCUGUAGGUAAACGCGUUCAAAAAUAAUAAUAUAAUAUUAUUAUAUACAGAGUCCGGCACGUAUUAUAUUUAUAAAAUGCAAGAAUCGAAUAAGUUCACGUAGAGAAUAGAAAAUAAAUCGACUGUGCACAAUUGUUGUUUUCCUUUGAUGUACCUCGUA